rnacentral:ncRNA from 1 species
CUUUGGCAAAAGUAAGUGCCAAGGCGAAAGGAG